rnacentral:rRNA from 1 species
UACAGAGGGGGCAAGCGUUAUUCGGAAUUAUUGGGCGUAAAGGGCGCGUAGGCGGUUUUUUAAGUCGGAUGUGCAAUCCCCGGGCUCAACCCGGGAACUGCAUCCGAGACUGGAAGGCUAGAGUACUGGAGAGGGUGGUGGAAUUCCUCGUGUAGCGGUGAAAUGCGUAGAGAUGAGGAGGAACACCAGUGGCGAAGGCGGCCACCUGGACAGUAACUGACGCUGAGGCGCGAAAGCGUGGGUAGCAAACAGG